UAGUAAUCGCGGAUCAGCAUGCCGCGGUGAAUACGUUCUCGGGCCUUGUACACACCGCCCGUCACACCAUGGGAGUCGGUAACACCCGAAGUCUGUAGCCUGACGCAAGAGGGCGCAGCCGAAGGUGGGAUUGAUGACUGGGGUGAAGUCGUAACAAGGUAAC
rnacentral:rRNA from 1 species